CUUGGUCAUUUAGAGGAAGUAAAAGUCGUAACAAGGUUUCCGUAGGUGAACCUGCGGAAGGAUCAUUACCGAACUGUCGACACGAGUUGUUGCUGGCCCUCGAGAGGGGGCACGUGCACGCUCUGUUUACACAUCCACUCACACCUGUGCACCCUCUGUAGUUCUGUGGCCUUGGGGGCUCUGUCCCCUUGCCGUGGUCCUACGUCUUUACACACACACCGUAACAAAGUCUCAUGGAAUGUAUGUCGCGUUUGACGCAAUACAAUACAACUUUCAGCAACGGAUCUCUUGGCUCUCGCAUCGAUGAAGAACGCAGCGAAAUGCGAUAAGUAAUGUGAAUUGCAGAAUUCAGUGAAUCAUCGAAUCUUUGAACGCACCUUGCGCCCUUUGGCUAUUCUGAAGGGCAUGCCUGUUUGAGUAUCAUGAACACCUCAACUCUCAUGGUCUGCCGUGAUGAGCUUGGACUUUGGGGGUCUUGCUGGCCUAGCGUCAGCUCCUCUCAAAUGGAUCAGCUUGCCAGUGUUUGGUGGCACCACAGGUGUGAUAACUAUCUACGCUUGUGGUUUCCUGCCAUGUUAGCCUUCAGCAAUGGAGGUUCGCUGGAGCUCACAGAUGUCUCUCCUUGGUGAGGACAGCUUUUGAACGUUUGAUCUCAAAUCAGGUAGGACUACCCGCUGAACUUAAGCAUAUCAAUAAGCGGAGGAAAAGAAACUAACAAGGAUUCCCCUAGUAACUGCGAGUGAAGCGGGAAGAGCUCAAAUUUAAAAUCUGGCGUGCCUCUGGCCGUCCGAGUUGUAGUCUGGAGAAGCGUUUUCCGUGUUGGACCGUGUAUAAGUCUCUUGGAACAGGGCGUCAUAGAGGGUGAGAAUCCCGUCUUUGACACGGACUACCAAUGCUUUGUGAUGCGCUCUCAAAGAGUCGAGUUGUUUGGGAAUGCAGCUCAAAAUGGGUGGUAAAUUCCAUCUAAAGCUAAAUAUAGGCGAGAGACCGAUAGCGAACAAGUACCGUGAGGGAAAGAUGAAAAGCACUUUGGAAAGAGAGUUAAACAGUACGUGAAAUUGCUGAAAGGGAAACGCUUGAAGU
rnacentral:rRNA from 1 species